rnacentral:misc_RNA from 1 species
AACACUCAAUCUAAGUAGCUUCUUAUACUCUCAGAACAGACUGCAUAAUUGCUACUCGAACAUUUUAUGAUCCAGUGACAAGAAGACCAAGUUUAUGGAAAGUGAAAUAUAUCAUAUGAUGGAAGAGAGAUGUAUUUGUAUAUCUCCAUUGACCUCCUGUCUUGUCAUGACUCUUCCAUUACCAAUUGAGUCAAGUGGUUAGUAU